UCAGUUCUCGAAGUUGAUGUGUUGCAAGCAGGAAAGCAUAAGGAUCUGAGUGAUUUUGACAAGGGCCAAAUUGUCAUGGCUAGAUGAGUGGGUCAGAGCAUCUCCAAAAUGGGAGGUCCUGUGGGGUGUUCCCAGUAUGCAGUGGUUAGUACCUACCAAAAGUGGUCCAAGGAAGGACAACCAGGUCAAGAUUGUCCAAGGCUCACUGAUGCAUGUGGAGCGCGAAUGCAAGCCCGUCUGGUCCGAUCCCAAAGAAGAGCAAGGCACCAGGAUGCACUAUAGCAGUGGUUUUCAAAGUGGGGGCUGCCAGGGGGCACCCGGGAAGCCUCAACAAUUUGUUCUUCCAUCUACUACUCAACUGAAGGCGUGGUCUGGAAAGCUCUUUACUGCUUCAGUGGAUGAGACUGAAAUGAUAAGUGACCUAACCAAACCAAAGCCUUGACUUCACAGCAUGUAGACCAUUGAAAAUGAAGAGCAAACUGAGUCUCCUCAAGUUCUCUCACAUCAUUCCAUUGCUGGAUUCCCUCCACCUGCUCCAUGUAGCUGCAUGUACCAGAUUAAAAAACAAACAGACACGUUUGCUUACAGAGUCAAAUAUGGACCAGGACCAGGCUACCUUAAAGCACUCUGCACCAUGUUCCCUUCGAGCUGCUAGCUCAGCUUGACUGGACCCACCAUCUCCUAAGAUGAUAAGACUUGCAAUAGCAUUUUCUGUCCUGAACACCUACCUUUUUACCAACCUCUUAAA